rnacentral:rRNA from 1 species
AUAUCAAAAGCGGAGGAAAAGAAACCAACAGGGAUUGCCCCAGUAGCGGCGAGUGAAGCGGCAAGAGCUCAGAUUUGAAAUCGUGUUUCGGCACGAGUUGUAGAGUGUAGGCGGGAGUCUCUGUGGAGCGCGGUGUCCAAGUCCCUUGGAACAGGGUGCCUGAGAGGGUGAGAGCCCCGUAGGGUGCUGCGCGAAGCUUUUGAGGCCCUGCUGACGAGUCGAGUUGUUUGGGAAUGCAGCUCCAAGCGGGUGGUAAAUUCCAUCUAAGGCUAAAUAUUGGCGAGAGACCGAUAGCGAACAAGUACUGUGAAGGAAAGAUGAAAAGCACUUUGAAAAGAGAGUGAAACAGCACGUGAAAUUGUUGAAAGGGAAGGGUAUUGGGCUCGACAUGGGGGGUGCGCACCGCUGUCUCUUGUAGGCGGCGCUCUGGGCGCCCUCUGGGCCAGCAUCGGUUCCUGCUGCGGGAGAAGGGGCUCCGGAAAGUGGCUCUUCGGAGUGUUAUAGCCGGGGCCAGAUGCCGCGUGUGGGGACCGAGGACUGCGGCUUCUGUCUCGGAUGCUGGCAUAACGGCGCAAUACCGCCCGUC